GGGGCCAUUGUGGCUCAGUGGAAGAGCAUCUGCUUGGCACGCAGAAGGUCCCAGGUUCCAUCCCUGACAGCUCCA
rnacentral:tRNA from 1 species